rnacentral:rRNA from 1 species
GGUUAAGCGACUAAGCGUACACGGUGGAUGCCCUGGCAGUCAGAGGCGAUGAAGGACGUGCUAAUCUGCGAUAAGCGUCGGUAAGGUGAUAUGAACCGUUAUAACCGGCGAUUUCCGAAUGGGGAAACCCAGUGUGAUUCGUCACACUAUCAUUAACUGAAUCCAUAGGUUAAUGAGGCGAACCGGGGGAACUGAAACAUCUAAGUACCCCGAGGAAAAGAAAUCAACCGAGAUUCCCCCAGUAGCGGCGAGCGAACGGGGAGCAGCCCAGAGCCUGAAUCAGUGUGUGUGUUAGUGGAAGCGUCUGGAAAGGCGCGCGAUACAGGGUGACAGCCCCGUACACAAAAAUGCACAUGCUGUGAGCUCGAUGAGUAGGGCGGGACACGUGGUAUCCUGUCUGAAUAUGGGGGGACCAUCCUCCAAGGCUAAAUACUCCUGACUGACCGAUAGUGAACCAGUACCGUGAGGGAAAGGCGAAAAGAACCCCGGCGAGGGGAGUGAAAAAGAACCUGAAACCGUGUACGUACAAGCAGUGGGAGCCUCUUUAUGGGGUGACUGCGUACCUUUUGUAUAAUGGGUCAGCGACUUAUAUUCUGUAGCAAGGUUAACCGAAUAGGGGAGCCGAAGGGAAACCGAGUCUUAACUGGGCGUUAAGUUGCAGGGUAUAGACCCGAAACCCGGUGAUCUAGCCAUGGGCAGGUUGAAGGUUGGGUAACACUAACUGGAGGACCGAACCGACUAAUGUUGAAAAAUUAGCGGAUGACUUGUGGCUGGGGGUGAAAGGCCAAUCAAACCGGGAGAUAGCUGGUUCUCCCCGAAAGCUAUUUAGGUAGCGCCUCGUGAACUCAUCUCCGGGGGUAGAGCACUGUUUCGGCAAGGGGGUCAUCCCGACUUACCAACCCGAUGCAAACUGCGAAUACCGGAGAAUGUUAUCACGGGAGACACACGGCGGGUGCUAACGUCCGUCGUGAAGAGGGAAACAACCCAGACCGCCAGCUAAGGUCCCAAAGUCAUGGUUAAGUGGGAAACGAUGUGGGAAGGCCCAGACAGCCAGGAUGUUGGCUUAGAAGCAGCCAUCAUUUAAAGAAAGCGUAAUAGCUCACUGGUCGAGUCGGCCUGCGCGGAAGAUGUAACGGGGCUAAACCAUGCACCGAAGCUGCGGCAGCGACGCUUAUGCGUUGUUGGGUAGGGGAGCGUUCUGUAAGCCUGUGAAGGUGUGCUGUGAGGCAUACUGGAGGUAUCAGAAGUGCGAAUGCUGACAUAAGUAACGAUAAAGCGGGUGAAAAGCCCGCUCGCCGGAAGACCAAGGGUUCCUGUCCAACGUUAAUCGGGGCAGGGUGAGUCGACCCCUAAGGCGAGGCCGAAAGGCGUAGUCGAUGGGAAACAGGUUAAUAUUCCUGUACUUGGUGUUACUGCGAAGGGGGGACGGAGAAGGCUAUGUUGGCCGGGCGACGGUUGUCCCGGUUUAAGCGUGUAGGCUGGUUUUCCAGGCAAAUCCGGAAAAUCAAGGCUGAGGCGUGAUGACGAGGCACUACGGUGCUGAAGCAACAAAUGCCCUGCUUCCAGGAAAAGCCUCUAAGCAUCAGGUAACAUCAAAUCGUACCCCAAACCGACACAGGUGGUCAGGUAGAGAAUACCAAGGCGCUUGAGAGAACUCGGGUGAAGGAACUAGGCAAAAUGGUGCCGUAACUUCGGGAGAAGGCACGCUGAUAUGUAGGUGAAGUCCCUCGCGGAUGGAGCUGAAAUCAGUCGAAGAUACCAGCUGGCUGCAACUGUUUAUUAAAAACACAGCACUGUGCAAACACGAAAGUGGACGUAUACGGUGUGACGCCUGCCCGGUGCCGGAAGGUUAAUUGAUGGGGUCAGCGCAAGCGAAGCUCUUGAUCGAAGCCCCGGUAAACGGCGGCCGUAACUAUAACGGUCCUAAGGUAGCGAAAUUCCUUGUCGGGUAAGUUCCGACCUGCACGAAUGGCGUAAUGAUGGCCAGGCUGUCUCCACCCGAGACUCAGUGAAAUUGAACUCGCUGUGAAGAUGCAGUGUACCCGCGGCAAGACGGAAAGACCCCGUGAACCUUUACUAUAGCUUGACACUGAACAUUGAGCCUUGAUGUGUAGGAUAGGUGGGAGGCUUAGAAGUGUGGACGCCAGUCUGCAUGGAGCCGACCUUGAAAUACCACCCUUUAAUGUUUGAUGUUCUAACGUUGACCCGUAAUCCGGGUUGCGGACAGUGUCUGGUGGGUAGUUUGACUGGGGCGGUCUCCUCCUAAAGAGUAACGGAGGAGCACGAAGGUUGGCUAAUCCUGGUCGGACAUCAGGAGGUUAGUGCAAUGGCAUAAGCCAGCUUGACUGCGAGCGUGACGGCGCGAGCAGGUGCGAAAGCAGGUCAUAGUGAUCCGGUGGUUCUGAAUGGAAGGGCCAUCGCUCAACGGAUAAAAGGUACUCCGGGGAUAACAGGCUGAUACCGCCCAAGAGUUCAUAUCGACGGCGGUGUUUGGCACCUCGAUGUCGGCUCAUCACAUCCUGGGGCUGAAGUAGGUCCCAAGGGUAUGGCUGUUCGCCAUUUAAAGUGGUACGCGAGCUGGGUUUAGAACGUCGUGAGACAGUUCGGUCCCUAUCUGCCGUGGGCGCUGGAGAACUGAGGGGGCUGCUCCUAGUACGAGAGGACCGGAGUGGACGCAUCACUGGUGUUCGGGUUGUCAUGCCAAUGGCACUGCCCGGUAGCUAAAUGCGGAAGAGAUAAGUGCUGAAAGCAUCUAAGCACGAAACUUGCCCCGAGAUGAGUUCUCCCUGACUCCUUGAGAGUCCUGAAGGAACGUUGAAGACGACGACGUUGAUAGGCCGGGUGUGUAAGCGCAGCGAUGCGUUGAGCUAACCGGUACUAAUGAACCGUGAGGCUUAACCUU